AAUGAACGCUGGCGGCAGGCCUAACACAUGCAAGUCGAACGCCCCGCAAGGGGAGUGGCGCACGGGUGAGUAACGCGUGGGAAUAUGCCCUUCGGUUCGGAAUAACACAGGGAAACUUGUGCUAAUACCGGACAAGAUCUACGGAUGAAAGAUUCAUCGCCGAAGGAGUAGCCCGCGUAGGAUUAGCUUGUUGGUGAGGUAACGGCUCACCAAGGCGACGAUCCUUAGCUGGUCUGAGAGGAUGAUCAGCCACACUGGGACUGAGACACGGCCCAGACUCCGACGGGAGGCAGCAGUGGGGAAUAUUGGACAAUGGGCGAAAGCCUGAUCCAGCCAGGCCGCGUGGGUGAUGAAGGCCUUAGGGUUGUAAAGCUCUUUCGCCAGGGAAGAUAAUGACGGUACCUGGAAAAGAAGCCUCGGCUAACUCCGUGCCAGCAGCCGCCGUAA
rnacentral:rRNA from 1 species